UCCAGACUCCUACGGGAGGCAGCAGUGGGGAAUAUUGCACAAUGGGGGGAACCCUGAUGCAGCGACGCCGCGUGAGUGAAGAAAUAUUUCGGUAUGUAAAGCUCUGUCAGCAGGGAAGAAGAAAGACGGUACCUGACCAAGAAGCCCCGGCUAACUACGUGCCAGCAGCCGCGGUAAUACGUAGGGGGCAAGCGUUAUCCGGAUUUACUGGGGGUAAAGGGAGCGUAGACGGCAGGGCAAGUCUGGAGUGAAAGGCGGGGGCCCAACCCCUGGACUGCUCUGGAAACUGUCCGGCUGGAGUGCAGGAGAGGUAAGUGGAAUUCCUAGUGUAGCGGUGAAAUGCGUAGAUAUUAGGAGGAACACCAGUGGCGAAGGCGGCUUACUGGACUGUAACUGACGUUGAGGCGCGAAAGCGUGGGGAGCAAACAGGAUUAGAUACCCGGGUAGC
rnacentral:rRNA from 1 species